rnacentral:rRNA from 1 species
CCUACGGGAGGCAGCAGUGGGGAAUUUUGGACAAUGGGGGAAACCCUGAUCCAGCCAUUCCGCGUGAGUGAAGAAGGCCUUCGGGUUGUAAAGCUCUUUCGGCAGGAACGAAACGGCGGACUCUAACAUAGUCUGUCAAUGACGGUACCUGAAGAAGAAGCACCGGCUAACUACGUGCCAGCAGCCGCGGUAAUACGUAGGGUGCAAGCGUUGCUCGGAAUCACUGGGUGUAAAGCGCGAGUAGGCGGUUAAUUAAGUCAGAGGUGAAAGCCCACGGCUCAACCGUGGAAGUGCAUCGGAAACUGGUUAGCUAGAGUGUGAGAGAGGGAUGCGGAAUUCCCGGUGUAGCGGUGAAAUGCGUAGAUAUCGGGAGGAACGCCAGUGGCGAAGGCGGCAUCCGGGCUCAUAACUGACGCUGAGUCGCGAAAGCGUGGGGAUCAAACAGGAUUAGAUACCUUUGUAGU